UACGUAGGGACCGAGCGUUGUCCGGAAUCAUUGGGCGUAAAGCGCUCGCAGGCGGCUCGAUGCGUCGUGCGUGAAACACCCCGGCUCAACUGGGGAGGGUCGUGCGAUACGGUCGAGCUUGAGGCCAGUAGGGGGAUGCGGAAUUCCGGGUGUAGUGGUGGAAUGCGUAGAGAUCCGGAGGAACACCAGCGGCGAAGGCGGCAUCCUGGACUGGUACUGACGCUCAGGAGCGAAAGCGUGGGGAGCGAUCCGG
rnacentral:rRNA from 1 species